rnacentral:rRNA from 1 species
AUUGAACGCUGGCGGCAGGCCUAACACAUGCAAGUCGAACGAGUGGCGGACGGGUGAGUAAUGUAUGGGAAACUGCCUGAUGGAGGGGGAUAACAAAUGGAAACGGUAGCUAAUAACGCCUAGCAUCGCAUGUGCCCAGAUGGGAUUAGCUAGUAGUUGGGGUAACGGCUCACCUAGGCGACGAUCCCUAGCUGGUCUGAGAGGAUGACCAGUCACACUGGAACUGAGACACGGUCCAGACUCCGACGGGAGGCAGCAGUGGGGAAUAUUGCACAAUGGGCGCAAGCCUGAUGCAGCCAUGCCGCGUGUAUGAAGAAGGCCUUCGGGUUGUAAAGUACGUUCAGCGGGGAGGCGUUACCCACAGAAGAAGCACCGGCUAACUCCGUGCCAGCAGCCGCGGUAAUAC